rnacentral:rRNA from 1 species
GAUGAACGCUGGCGGCGUGCCUAAUACAUGCAAGUCGAGCGAACGGACGAGAAGCUUGCUUCUCUGAUGUUAGCGGCGGACGGGUGAGUAAAACGUGGAUAACCUACCUAUAAGACUGGGAUAACUUCGGGAAACCGGAGCUAAUACCGGAUGUAAUUUUGAACCGCAUGGUUCAAAAGUAAAAGUCGGUCUUGCUGUCACUUAUAGAUGUAUCCGCGCUGCAUUAGCUAGUUGGUAAGGUAGAGGCUUACCAAAGCAACGAUGAAUAGCCGACAUGAGAGGGUGAUUGGCCACACUGGAACUGAGACACGGUCCACACACCUACGGGAAGCAGCAGUAGGGAAUCUUCCGCGAUGGGCGAAAGGCUGACGGAGCAAAGCCGCGUGAGUGAUGAAGGUCUUCGGAUCGUAAAACUCUGUUAUUAGGGAAGAACAUAUGUGUAAGUAACUGUGCACAUCUUGACGGUACCUAAUCAGAAAGCCACGGCUAACUACGUG